rnacentral:rRNA from 1 species
CCGUUACGGUUGUAAAGCUUCUUUUGUCGAAGGGAAAGAAACGGUGUAUUUCUAAUACGGAUUGCUAAUGACGGUACCUGAAGAAUAAGCACCGGCUAACUACGUGC